rnacentral:rRNA from 1 species
UACAGAGGUCUCAAGCGUUGUUCGGAUUCAUUGGGCGUAAAGGGUGCGUAGGCGGCGCGGUAAGUCGGGUGUGAAAUCUCGGAGCUUAACCGGGGGAACUGCAUCUGAUACUGGAUGGCUUGAGAUUGGGAGAGGGAUGCGGAAUUCCAGGUGUAGCGGUGAAAUGCGUAGAUAUCUGGAGGAACACCGGUGGCGAAGGCGGCGUUCUGGACUGCAACUGACACUGAGGAACGAAAGCAUGGGGAGCGAACAGG